rnacentral:tRNA from 1 species
AAAUAGAGAAGUAAAUAAUACAGUUAGCUUCGACCUAACCAUUUAAGAAUAAGCUUCUUCCUAUUUA